rnacentral:rRNA from 1 species
AUAUUAUUAAGCGGAGGAAAAGAAACUAACAAGGAUUCCCCUAGUAACGGCGAGUGAAGCGGGAAAAGCUCAAGUUUAAAAUCGGUGCUCCUUGAGGGCAUUGAGUUGUAAUCUAAAGACGUACUGUCAGCGUGUGACCUGGGUAUAACUCCUUUGGAAAAGGGGAUCAUAGAGGGUGAUAAUCCCGUCUUUGACCUGGAGCUCGCCGCGUACGACAUACGUUCAUAGAGUCGGGUUGUUUGGGAUUGCAGCCCUAAAUGGGUGGUAAACUUCAUCUAAAGCUAAAUAUUGGCGGGAGACCGAUAGCGCACAAGUA